AGAGUUUGAUUCUGGCGUCAGGAUGAACGCUAGCUACAGGCUUAACACAUGCAAGUCGAGGGGCAGCAUUGGAGUAGCAAUACUCAGAUGGCGACCGGCGCACGGGUGAGUAACACGUAUCCAACCUGCCGCUUACUCGGGGAUAGCCUUUCGAAAGAAAGAUUAAUACCCGAUGGUAUAAAGAGUUCGCAUGUUCUCUUUAUUAAAGAAUUUCGGUAAGCGAUGGGGAUGCGUUCCAUUAGAUAGUUGGCGGGGUAACGGCCCACCAAGUCUACGAUGGAUAGGGGUUCUGAGAGGAAGGUCCCCCACAUUGGAACUGAGACACGGUCCAAACUCCUACGGGAGGCAGCAGUGAGGAAUAUUGGUCAAUGGACGCGAGUCUGAACCAGCCAAAGUAGCGUGAAGGAUGACUGCCCUAUGGGUUGUAAACUUCUUUUAUAAGGGAAUAAAGUGAGGGACGUGUCCCUUUUUGUAUGUACCUUAUGAAUAAGGAUCGGCUAACUCCGUGCCAGCCGCCGC
rnacentral:rRNA from 1 species